GUGUCAGCCGCCGCGGUAAUACGAAUCGUCCUAACGUUGUUCGGAUUCACUGGGUUUAAAGGGCGCGUAGGCUGUGCGUUAAGUCGGUGGUGAAAUACUUCGGCUCAACCGGAGAAUUGCCGCUGAAACUGGCGCGCUAGAGGGAGGCAGAGGUGCAUGGAACUUCCGGUGGAGCGGUGAAAUGCGUUGAUAUCGGAAGGAACACCCGUGGCGAAAGCGGUGCACUGGACCUCUUCUGACGCUGAGGCGCGAAAGCCAGGGGAGCGAACGGGAUUAGAUACCCCCGUAGUCC
rnacentral:rRNA from 1 species